rnacentral:tRNA from 1 species
AGGGCAGUAGCUCAGCCUGGUUAGAGUGCUCGGCUGAUAACCGAGUGGUCCGGGGUUCAAAUCCCCGCUGCCCUACCA